rnacentral:rRNA from 1 species
UACGUAGGGUGCGAGCGUUAAUCGGAAUUACUGGGCGUAAAGCGUACGCAGGCGGCUGUGUAAGACAGGUGUGAAAUCCCCGGGCCUAACCUGGGAACUGCAUUUGUGACUGCAUAGCUAGAGUCUGUCAGAGGGGGGUGGAAUUCCACGUGUAGCAGUGAAAUGCGUAGAGAUGUGGAGGAACACCGAUGGCGAAGGCAGCCCCCUGGGAUAAGACUGACGCUCAUGUACGAAAGCGUGGGGAGCAAACAGG